rnacentral:lncRNA from 1 species
AGAAAUGAGCCCCAUUAAGUGAAGUCGAGAUGCUGUGAUUUCCAUGGUAGACCGUGGAGGAAGGGGUUCACAGGCUCAAGGAAGUGAGUAUGCUAGAAUGGAUACUGCCAGCUGACUAUAUUCCACGAGAGGGCCUGGAAGACUCUCUGUUUAUCAAGGCCAUGGGAAGUGGGGGCACCACCAUCUUUGUUGAGAAACUCAGUGACAACCCAUGGUGGCUGUCCUCUGUAGGUCAGGGCUGACAAUAGGGGAUGCUGUUACAGAACUGGGCUCUCUAGUAGCAAGGGGAAGUGAUAGGAUCCUGGAGUGACAGAGGCAGGAUGGUAGCACUUAUGCAUCAGAAGCAAGGGGGGCAUGAUUGCUGUAGUGGGCAGCAAGGUCAGAAUGGCAGAUAGGGGCACCUGACUUGCAGGGAUCCAUGGAGAUGCACAUAGAACAUUGGGAAAGAUAGAUGGGUAGUCAGCAAAGGCAUGCUGUAUAAAGGAUAUAUAUGUAUACAUGUAACAUCUGGAACCAGCCCUGGUGGCCUAAUGGUUAAGAUUUGGCUCUCUCACUACCACAGCCCGGGUUUGUUUCCCAGUCAGGGAACCACACGACCCGUCUGUCAGUUGUCAUGCUGUCGCUGUGAUGCUGAAAGCUAUGCCACUGGUGUUUCAAAUACCAGCAGGGUCACCCAUGGUGGACAGGUUUCAGCGGAGCUUCCAGACUAAGACAGACAAGGAAGAAGAAGGACCUGGCCACCCACUUCCAAAAAAAUUGGCCAUGAAAACCCUACGAAGAGCAGCAGAGCAUCGUUUGAUACAGUGCCGGAAGAUGUUGAAAUUGAGAAUGAUCAUCUCAACUGAGGACUAGGAUGGAUAAAACAGAGUCAGAGACUACAGCCUCCCCAGAACGUGUCCUUAUAAAAAGAGGAAACUCGGACAGAGAUACACAUACAGGGAGACCAACACGUGAAGAGGAAGGCAGAGGUCGGAGUGAUGCUUCUACAAGCCACAGAACACCAAAGAUUGCCAACAAACUACCAGAAGCUAGGAGAGAAGCAUGGAACAGAUUCUCCCUUACAGCCCUCAGAAGGAACCAACUCUGCCGACACCUUGAUCUUGGACUUCCAGCCUUCAGAACUUACAGGCUCUGGCUCAGGCUUUCCCCUCACUCCUGUCUUCUGCCACCUGACCAAAACCUGGUGCUGCCCUUGUGGCCUUGCAUGGCAUGUGCUGACCCCUUCUUUGAGACCUGUGAGUAUAAUAAACUUCUUUCUUCCAA